rnacentral:rRNA from 1 species
AGCGAACGCUGGCGGCAGGCCUAACACAUGCAAGUCGAACGAACCUUUCGGGGUUAGUGGCGGACGGGUGAGUAACACGUGGGAACGUGCCUUUAGGUUCGGAAUAACUCAGGGAAACUUGUGCUAAUACCGAAUGUGCCCUUCGGGGGAAAGAUUUAUCGCCUUUAGAGCGGCCCGCGUCUGAUUAGCUAGUUGGUUGAGGUAAUGGCUCACCAAGGCGACGAUCAGUAGCUGGUCUGAGAGGAUGAUCAGCCACAUUGGGACUGAGACACGGCCCAAACUCCUACGGGAGGCAGCAGUGGGGAAUCUUGCGCAAUGGGCGAAAGCCUGACGCAGCCAUGCCGCGUGAAUGAUGAAGGUCUUAGGAUUGUAAAAUUCUUUCACCGGGGACGAUAAUGACGGUACCAGGAGAAGAAGCCCCGGCUAACUUCGUG